rnacentral:lncRNA from 1 species
AACCCCAACCAGAACCCAGCUGCGUGCGAUACCUCGCCGGCGGCGCGGAGCGCCGCCGCAACUACUCUGAGCGACCCCAGCCAGAACCCAGCUCGGUAUCGCGCUCGAUACCUCGCCGGCGACGCUCCGCGACGCCGCAACUACUCUGAGCAAGAGCGCUCCUUCCUUCGCCCCGAAUCCUCGAUACCUCGCCGGCACCGCCUGCAACUACUCCAAGGACUCCCCCAAGCCAGAACCUGGCUCGGUAUCGCGCGUGGAGGCGUGCGAUACCUCGCCGGCGACGCUCCGCGACGCCGCAACUACUCCGAGCAGCCCCAGCCAGAACCCGGCACGCCUCACUCCGAGCAGGAGUGCUCCUUCUUCUGCCCAGACAGGUAUCAGCUUGUCUCUAGUGUAGUUAAAAAAUGGACUCCUCGGUUGGAUCCGCUGGAAGAAUGA